rnacentral:rRNA from 1 species
GAUAAACGCUGGCGGCGUGCUUAACACAUGCAAGUCGAACGAAGUUUUUCCUUCGGGAGAAACUUAGUGGCGGACGGGUGAGUAACGCGUGGGUAACCUGCCCUGUACAGGGGGACAACAGCUGGAAACGGCUGCUAAUACCGCAUAAGCCCUUAGCACUGCAUGGUGCAUAGGGAAAAGGAGCAAUCCGGUACAGGAUGGACCCGCGUCUGAUUAGCCAGUUGGCAGGGUAACGGCCUACCAAAGCGACGAUCAGUAGCCGAUCUGAGAGGAUGUACGGCCACAUUGGGACUGAGACACGGCCCAGACUCCUACGGGAGGCAGCAGUGGGGAAUAUUGCACAAUGGAGGAAACUCUGAUGCAGCGACGCCGCGUGAGUGAAGAGGUAUUUCGGUAUGUAAAGCUCUAUCAGCAGGGAAGAAAAUGACGGUACCGGACUAAGAAGCACCGGCUAAAUACGU